rnacentral:rRNA from 1 species
UACGUAGGGUGCAAGCGUUAAUCGGAAUUACUGGGCGUAAAGCGUGCGCAGGCGGUUCUGCAAGUCAGGCGUGAAAGCCCCGGGCUUAACCUGGGAAUGGCGCUUGAAACUACAGGACUGGAGUAUGGCAGAGGGAGGUGGAAUUCCACGUGUAGCGGUGAAAUGCGUAGAGAUGUGGAGGAACACCGAUGGCGAAGGCAGCCUCCUGGGCCAAUACUGACGCUCAUGCACGAAAGCGUGGGGAGCAAACAGG